UGACAACUAAAAACCACAACUAAAAAACCUAAUUCAGUCACAGAAUAAUCUUCUGAGGCCAAAAGUCCAUCUAAUGCAAUGAAGAUUUGCUUUCAUUAAAGACAGAGGUGAGGACAAAAUCUGCAGUGGAAGUUAUGAUAUGCUAGAAAGCAACAAAUGUGGAUCACUGACCAAAACGAUUAUGUACUUGAUGCAAAUGCAGAUUGCAUAUUGUUAUAUAUAUAUAGGACAUUGUGUUUUUGUUUUCCCCAUCCAGUCACUUAUUUUUGGUGGUGAAUACAUGUUGUUAGAAGAUGUCUUGUAUGGUCUGAAUCUUUGUUGUGUACUAUUUUUUAUAGUCUUAAGUUAUAAUGAAAAAAACAAAAAGUAGGAACCAAACAUAAAAGGUCUAGUAAAGCCAAAAAUUAAUUUCAUAUUGAUUUUAAAGUGAUCUAGCUGAGUUUUUACACUGAAAGCAAAGAUUAUAGCAAUUGUAGUCCAUGGUAUUUAUUUUCAGUCAAACCAAAGUUACAUAUAAUUCUGCCUCUGCUGAUACGGGAUAUUAACACUAACAAUACACUCCCUUUCAAAGACUUGCACAGGCCAAAUUGUUGGAAUGCUGGUUUUCGCGAAGACUCCAAACCCCCAAACUAGGAUAAUGCAUUAUGGUGUAGUUGAAAAUAGCAUAGUCAAAUGUUUGCUUAAAACCUAGAAACUUUACGUGUUGCUUUUCAUGUGCUGUGCCAAGUCUUGAUAAUACUUUUUCCCCCAACCAAGGGACCUCAUAACCUGAUGAUGGUUAUUGCUUUACAAACAGUUUCGACAGAAGGUGGCUGCUAGAGCUUAACAUAUGUACCAGUUCCAUGUGAUGGAGCUGGUCCUUGCAAACUAAGCUCAUCAUUUAUUCUUUGCUGAAGUCAGCAAAUAGAGUUAGAGAAAUACCCAGUCAUCAAUCACACCAAAUAAAAGGACAUAACGGCUUUCAAAAGGGUUUUCCCACUUACCCAAAAGGCUUUCUGAAAGCUUCUACCUCUGC
rnacentral:lncRNA from 1 species